CCCAUGUCUAGGCUUCCUCCUCUAUUCUCAUAGGACUUCCUCUGACUGCAGCCAGCCAGGCAGCCCAGAUGACACACGUUAGAUCAAGAAUAGAAAAAGAAUCCAGGCCUCCACAUCGGAUUACAUCUGACAAGCAACAUGGACCCAGAUUUGUCCACUCUGAAGACCUUCCUUGGCUCACAGAACUUUUCCUUCCCUCUGUCAUCCAAAAAUGUUUCGGACCACAUGCAGCUAAAUGGAAACAGAUGCCCCUCGCGCCAGUGAAAGAAAGAGAGAGAAAGGAAGAAAAAAAUAAAAAAUUGAUUUACAGUGUCUAACAGUUCCAUUCAACAGUGCAUUAGCGUGUGCUACUAUGGGCUUCCACAAAAAAUAUGGAUAAAUCGUAAUUAUCUCACACGCACACGCACACACAAUUCUUAGAGCAUUGUUACCAGCCAUCAGAACGUUGUAGCCUGAUUAACGUUUCACUUUUUAGGAACCAGGAAAUGGAUCAUCUUCGCAUGCCACCGAAAAAGGAAUCUGUUGUUACUCAAGGCGGAGCUCUAGGCUCAGGGACUGUCUCUAAUUUUAGCACCUGGCGUUCCAUACAAGCAUACCAUAUAUUUUAGCCAUGACACACAGAAACAAUAAAUCCUAAAACCAAACACCAGACAUAGAGGCAAACACUAUGUUCUCAUGACUUAAACGAGUCAGUCAUUUGAAAUGCUAAUAAGCUCCUUUAAUGUAAAUAGAGUGAGAGAAUUGACUCGGAAACAAAAUCAGAA